rnacentral:rRNA from 1 species
CCCUUAGACGUUCUGGGCCGCACGCGCGCUACACUGACGGAGCCAGCGAGUAUAAACCUUGGCCGAGAGGUCUGGGAAAUCUUGUGAAACUCCGUCGUGCUGGGGAUAGAGCAUUGUAAUUAUUGCUCUUCAACGAGGAAUUCCUAGUAAGCGCAAGUCAUCAGCUUGCGUUGAUUACGUCCCUGCCCUUUGUACACACCGCCCGUCGCUACUACCGAUUGAACGGUUUAGUGAGGGCCUCGGAUUGGUCUCGGCCCGCUCUUUACCGGGCGGCGCCGUUGGUCGAGAAGACGCUCGAACUUGAUCGUUUAGAGGAAGUAAAAGUCGUAACA